GACGAACGCUGGCGGCGUGCUUAACACAUGCAAGUCGAACGGAAAGGCCCUGCUUUUGUGGGGUGCUCGAGUGGCGAGCGGGUGAGUAACACGUGAGUAACCUGCCCUUGACUUUGGGAUAACUUCAGGAAACUGGGGCUAAUACCGGAUAGGAGCUCCUGCUGCAUGGUGGGGGUUGGAAAGUUUCGGCGGUUGGGGAUGGACUCGCGGCUUAUCAGCUUGUUGGUGGGGUAGUGGCUUACCAAGGCUUUGACGGGUAGCCGGCCUGAGAGGGUGACCGGCCACAUUGGGACUGAGAUACGGCCCAGACUCCUACGGGAGGCAGCAGUGGGGAAUAUUGCACAAUGGGCGGAAGCCUGAUGCAGCAACGCCGCGUGCGGGAUGACGGCCUUCGGGUUGUAAACCGCUUUCGCCUGUGACGAAGCGUGAGUGACGGUAAUGGGUAAAGAAGCACCGGCUAACUACGUGCCAGCAGCCGCGGUGAUACGUAGGGUGCGAGCGUUGUCCGGAUUUAUUGGGCGUAAAGGGCUCGUAGGUGGUUGAUCGCGUCGGAAGUGUAAUCUUGGGGCUUAACCCUGAGCGUGCUUUCGAUACGGGUUGACUUGAGGAAGUUAGGGGAGAAUGGAAUUCCUGGUGGAGCGGUGGAAUGCGCAGAUAUCAGGAGGAACACCAGUGGCGAAGGCGGUUCUCUGGGCCUUUCCUGACGCUGAGGAGCGAAAGCGUGGGGAGCGAACAGGCUUAGAUACCCUGGUAGUCCACGCUGUAAACGGUGGGUACUAGGUGUGGGGUCCAUUCCACGGGUUCCGUGCCGUAGCUAACGCUUUAAGUACCCCGCCUGGGGAGUACGGCCGCAAGGCUAAAACUCAAAGGAAUUGACGGGGCCCCGCACAAGCGGCGGAGCAUGCGGAUUAAUUCGAUGCAACGCGUAGAACCUUACCUGGGUUUGACAUGGAUCGGGAGUGCUCAGAGAUGGGUGUGCCUCUUUUGGGGUCGGUUCACAGGUGGUGCAUGGCUGUCGUCAGCUCGUGUCGUGAGAUGCUGGGUUAAGUCCCGCAACGAGCGCAACCCUUGUUCACUGUUGCCAGCACGUUAUGGUGGGGACUCAGUGGAGACCGCCGGGGUCAACUCGGAGGAAGGUGGGGAUGACGUCAAGUCAUCAUGCCCCUUAUGUCCAGGGCUUCACGCAUGCUACAAUGGCUGGUACAGAGAGUGGCGAGCCUGUGAGGGUGAGCGAAUCUCGGAAAGCCGGUCUCAGUUCGGAUUGGGGUCUGCAACUCGACCUCAUGAAGUCGGAGUCGCUAGUAAUCGCAGAUCAGCAACGCUGCGGUGAAUACGUUCCCGGG
rnacentral:rRNA from 1 species